GGAUCGAUGGCGCAGUGGUAGCGCAUGCGAUUGCAGAUCGUGCGGUCCCGUGUUCGAAUCACGGUCGGUCCU
rfam:Sistotremastrum niveocremeum HHB9708 unplaced genomic scaffold SISNIscaffold_14, whole genome shotgun sequence.